CUUGACGUUCUUAACAUUAUGAAAGAAAAAGAUGAUCUCUAUCAGAAGGCUGCCCAAACAUCUGUGAUCCCUGGAUAUAUCACAGGGGCAUCCAUAAAUAAAUAAGCCUUAUUCUCCUCCAGAGAGAAUUGCUUCCAAGUAGUGAUGCCAGUCAUCAAGAUUACACUAGCCACAUCAAGACCUAUGAUUGGAAAAAAGAAACAGAGGCUUUCCAGUUUCAAGCUGUCUCUUUCUUCUCAGUUACAUUUCCCAAAGUAUACUCACAGAGCCAGUUUUGGAGGUCCAGACAGUGGCUCUGACAUCAGCUUGGUUCUGCUGAGGAAUCAAAGUUAUCCUGGAUAGCACCCAAGGUAUCUACCUCCAGCUGAUACCAAAUCCAGUCAGAGCGCAAGGUCAGCUGCUCACUGCUGCCUGAAGAUCAGCCUUUCAGAGGACGGGUACAGAAUGAUAAAGCAACUAGAAGACACUUAACACAAGUUUGCAAAAAAUAACAUGAAAAAGAACUCACAUCAUUUUUAUGGCACAUUUACAGUGGUUAAUUGGUUUUUGUUAAUCUUUUGAUGUUAUUUCUAAUGAGUACCCUAAAAUUUUAAUGCUUGUGUACUACCCACCCUUACCCCCUACAGAUUUUCCAUUUUAUUUUUCAAAUAAAAACAUAUGAUGAGC